GGUGCAGAGUCGAGAGCAGAGGAUAAUGGGGGAAACCGGACUUUAUUGCGGCAUCCACAACACACACCCAAAACAACAGAACCCAAAACACAUCACCAACAAACUAACAAUGGUCCAAGCACAGUCGAAGAGGGCACGACAAAACCUAUUCCCCCUCAGGAAACGAAAAAUAUUUGGCAUGUGUCUUCAGAUUCUCAAAAGGUUCUACAGCUGCACGAUCGAGAGCAUUCUGACUGGUUACAUCACUGCCUGGUAUGGAAACUGCUCAGAGGGUAUUGCUUUCGGCCCGGUACAUCACUGGGACCAAGCUACCUGCCAUCCAGGACCUCUAUACCAGGCGGUACAUUGACUCUGUACCGAGGGCUGUGAAAGCCUGUCUGCAGAUGAAGAGGUCCCAAUAAAGAGCAGUGGUUCUCAGUCCUGGUCCUGGGGACUCAAAGGGGUGCAUACGUUUUGUUUCUGCUUUAGCACUACACAGCUGAUUCAAAUGAUCAACUCAUCAUCAAGCUUCAAGGGGUAUUUACAGUGGACUCAGUAUUCUGACCCCUUGACUUUUUCCACAUUUUGUAUGUUACAACCUUAUUCUAAAAUGGAUUAAAGUGUUUUUUUCCCCCUCA